AACGACCAGAGCCACUCCUUUUUCUCCUCGCCCAUGGACGCAUCUCGUGUGCGAGCUCCUCUUUUUCCUUUUCUCUUCUUCCCCUCUUCUUCCAUGCGCCCCCCACUCCCCGCACUAUCGACAGGCUGUGCCGGACGGCCAUGGCAGCUCGUCGGCCAAUCGUCGCACACAGCACCCACCUCACUUUUUCCACCCUCGGGGGUUCAUCAAGCUCCUGCUCCUCCGCCAAUCACCAGCACCACACCAGUGCCGACCCCCCUGCUGCUACCACGACGUAGUGCAAGCUUUAGGACAAGCGGUGUUGGAACCGGCAGAGGGCGGUGCUGCAACCGUUGUCAUCUAAAGCUGGAAUCAAGAGGUGUGGCUCUUGCAAGCCCCAGCCGCAGUGCUGGAACAACGGCUAUGUCGUGCUACGACGGGCAGACGAGAUGCUGGAACCGGCCUUGGCAGGAGCUACAAUCAGCGGCCUUUUUUGCUACAACCGUUCUUUUGUUUUGCUGGAAUUAGCGACUUUUUUUGCUAGGAUAUGUAAUUUGAGAUGUUUUUUGCUGGAACUAUCUCUAAUUUUUGCUACCACCGUCCAUGAUUUUUGCUACCACUGGCCUUUUCGAUUUUUGCUACCGCCUGUCUGUGAUUUUGCUGCUGAAACCCAGUUUCAAUUUUUUGCUACCACCGUCUGUGUUUUUUGCUGCCACCGUCUUUGAUUUUUGCCACCAUCCCAUCUUUUGAUUUUUUGCCGGAUCCAUGUUAUUGCUGGAACCAGAGAAUUUGUUUGCUGGAACCAACAAUUUAUUAUGUUGCAACCAGCUUCCAGAGCCCAACGGCCAGUGGAACCGCUGGGGCAUAUUUGUUUUGACGGGCCUCCGCUGCAUCUGGCGAGACGGGGAGCAGCCACGGCGAGGCGGUGAGUGGCGAUGGGAACGUCUAGUCGGUGUUGCUAUGGCAAGCUAGGCGCCGAGUUCUACAGGGGUCGUGCAUUGGUUUGUGGAGAAAGAUGAUGCGUAUCGGGGAUAGAGGAUAAAGUUUAAAUGGUUGACAAUAUGCUAAUCCUAUGGUGCAGAGUGGACCGGCCGAAACUGGCCGAAAGUUUUGGCCGGUGCGCCGGCGCCUAGUACUCGCCUAAAGAAUGACAUACCCGUCUUAAUUGGUAUGCAACUAUUUCCUUCUAUAUAUACGUCCACUUUUCUCAUGAAUAUCAUAUCCAUGGUCUCAACAUGAUAUCUUGUCAACUUCACUUAGCCACUUGAGGUAUUGGAGGAAACUAAGUACACACAUAGGAUGUAAAAGAGCACACCAACUUAGGCACGUUGUCUCAGAGGAUGAAAUAUAGGCCCACAAGAGUCGUCUUCAGCAAGGGAAUACAUCAGUAUUGCAAGCUACAGAAAAUAUAUCAAGAUAUUGGGAGUGGUCAAGUGUGUGUAUGGUGGUAGUCUGGUGCUGGUGGCACAAAUCUUCACGCGCUACGAUCCUCCAUUAGUCGAGCUCUCCUUCGAUAAGAGCUAUGAGACCCUCGCCGGGGGAAUAGCCACAAAAAGAUCGUACACGUGCCUCUAGGUAAGGAGUAGUUCAUGUGAGCGGUGGACAUCCUAUCCUCCUAUGACCCUGAAAUCAUAGUAGAUGAAGACCUGAAGCUUGUCGGAAUUAGUUUAGAACCUUCUAGAAGAUCCUGUCAUGGUCGAGUUAGAUACAAGGCUUAAACCGAUUAUGUUAUGAUUUUAUCUUGUGUAUCAAGGUUUAACCUGCCUAAUUUAUAAGCCACUUAUGAUGCUUUUCCAUCCCAAUAUUGUAUUGUGUAUCAAGGCUGUAAGAGCAUCUCCAGCCGUUGGCACCCCCAGGAGGCAUAAAAAUCGCCGUCUGGGGGCGAGCCGGCGGCAUAAUCAGCUCUGGGGGUGGUUGGGCACCCAGCCGUCACCUCCAGGCACCGAUGUAGUUGUUGAUGCACCUGUGGGUCUCGGAUCUCCUGACGCAUACUGAGGUCUGAGCAAGAUACCGGACAACAGCAAAUCAAGAUUGGAGCACACCAAAUGCUCGCUCGACAUCCUUUGUGCAUGACUCCUGAGCCUUGGCAAAGUGGGACUUCUUGCCUCCUGGCACAACGUUUGAGAUAGUCUUCACAAAUGUCGACCAUCUCGGAUAGAUGCCAUCAGCUAGGUAGUACCCCUUGUUGUAGUGCCGCCCGUUGACCUUGAAGUUCACCGGAGGAGAAUGACCUUCAACAAGCUUGGCAAAGACAGGGGAGCACUGCAGGACGUUGAUGUCAUUGUGAGUUCCUAGCAUCCCAAAGAAAUAGUGCCAAAUCCAGAGAUCCUGUAUGGCCACUGCCUCAAAUACCACAUUGCAACUGCCUUUGGCGCCUUUGUACAACCCCUGCUAAGCAAAUGAACAGUUCUUCCAUUUUUAAUGCAUGCAGUCGAUGCUUUCAAGCA